GGCUCAGGAUGAACGCUGGCGGCGUGCUUAACACAUGCAAGUCGAACGAUGAUCUCCAGCUUGCUGGGGGGAUUAGUGGCGAACGGGUGAGUAACACGUGAGUAACCUGCCCUUAACUCUGGGAUAAGCCUGGGAAACUGGGUCUAAUACCGGAUAUGACUCCUCAUCGCAUGGUGGGGGGUGGAAAGCUUUUUGUGGUUUUGGAUGGACUCGCGGCCUAUCAGCUUGUUGGUGAGGUAAUGGCUCACCAAGGCGACGACGGGUAGCCGGCCUGAGAGGGUGACCGGCCACACUGGGACUGAGACACGGCCCAGACUCCUACGGGAGGCAGCAGUGGGGAAUAUUGCACAAUGGGCGCAAGCCUGAUGCAGCGACGCCGCGUGAGGGAUGACGGCCUUCGGGUUGUAA
rnacentral:rRNA from 1 species